UUAACUAUCUUGAGGAAAACAGCUUUCUUCCACAACUUGCACUGUGUGAUAACUUCAUGAAGAAUUUGUUCUGAAGAAACAUCCAGCAAAUAUUCUGCAAACCAAAAGAGUUAUGAGAAAGAUUUGCCAGUGGAUGCAAACUGAACACCCUAAUCUGUAUUGAAUCACUUGUGAUGUGUCCAUUCCAUAUGCAUUUCUCCUUAAAUGUGUAGGAUAAACUUGAAUGAUGUUACUCAGAACUGUACUUCUAUCAUAAAUAAAUGGCACUUUAAGGGGAACAGGUGCCCCUUAGUAUACAGGGUGACACACAGGAUGAGUGAAGUGGAAAACAGGAGAGCAUACUGCAUUUUGCACAAAGAUGAAUCACUGUGCAGUGCUUGCUCGGAUCUAUGUCCGUUGCAUGAGGUCAUCUGUGGUUUCAGAGUUGUAUGUUAUCUGACCUAUACAGCUAGUCCUAUCUGCAGGAAUUUUAUCUGAAAGUAGCUGAAAGGCUAAAAAUAGAGAAUUUCUGUUGGACUAGGCAAACAGCAGUGUACAUGACAGCACACUGGAACUGGUGAAAUCACCUUUUUACCGCAGCUGCAGAUGGUGGCCAAAGCUAGUUUUUUGGUAUUCUUGAUCUCCAAGGCUGGCUUUCUCUUUUCUGUAGAGUACACAGUACAUGGGAUGAUUUCAACACACAAUUAAACACUUCCCUUGCUGAGUGCUGUAUAAAGGGUAUGUAAAUCAGCUGGUUUUUAAGCUAACUCUCUAUUUUAAACAUUUAGCUGCAUCCCAUUUAGUUUUGAAAUAGUUUUGGAUCUUGGAUAUCUGAAGGACAGAUUAUCAACAGUGCAGGCUACUGUGCAGCUUCUAACCACCUUUGUACAUUUGAAAAAUAUCCUUUCAGACAUUUUAAAAUGAGCUGUAGCCUUCUGAAAUUCUUUAGAUGCUCCUCCUGCAGCAAGGAAGAAAUUAUGUGGCACAUUAUAUCCCACAGGAAUAAGUUGAGAUCUUCUAAUAGUUCUUCAUCAGUGAUUGUCAGUACGCUUGCUGCUGCAGAGGGCUGG